CUUCCAUUCACAACCUUUUUUGGGGGAUUCUAGCUGCAGUCUUUGUCCUCACCAACAGCUCUGUUAUUUCAGUCCACUCACCUUCAUGGAGCCUUUGAUUGUAAAGGAGAAAUGAGGCUGACUGUACGUGUUUAAAGGUCUGGUUUAAAGGUAAUAAAGCUUCCCUUAUCCUGACUGUUUACUGAAUAACACACAAGUCUUACUAACUCCGUCAGCAAUAUCAGAUACUAGCUGUUUGUUUCAGUGCGACAUUACCUUAUUAAUUUUUGAAGGUCUUGACAAAGAGAAAAACUGUUUCUAUUGAAUAAUUCACAUCAAGCAACUCAACUUUUAUCUUUAUUAUCAGCAACAGAGAUGCCCAACGUCCCACUCUGGAUGAAUGUUCCAUCAGUAUAUUGUGCUAAUAACAAAAAAAAAGAAAAAAAAAAAAAAGAAAUACUCAACCACAUAAUUAAGCUGUCUACAUGGUUAGUAUUACACCCGUUUGACUUUAACAUGUUAGCCUCGCCGUUGUGAUUAUGAUGUGGUGGUGUUAGCAUUUAGCUCUAAGAAAUGCAGUGCGAGCUUAUGUUUAGAGCUAGCUUGGCUGAUGUUUAUAAUUUUUUAAGCUUGAGCUCGUCCAUAUUCAUAUUUUGAUAAGUCUGUAGUUUGCUCUUGUAUUUGACUUCUUUGAUACUGCUGUCUCCACAAUAGAGUCAUUAAAUAUUAUAAUAUAAUAGGAAUAUUCUAAGUAAAAUGUAGGAAUAAAAUAAUUUAAAUCUGUUUCUAAUGGACCAUUUUAGAAACAAAAGCAGAACUGCUCUGUCACAAGCUUUAUGAGACAGCUGCUUUUGUUUAGAUAGAGAUUUAUCAUUUUAUUUUGGCUGCUGUUUCUGUUGGGGAUCUUGCAAAUCUUUUUUUUCCUAAAAUUUGUUAAAUAAAUAAAAUUCACACUUUAGUAUUCUUUAAGUGAAGAUAAUAUUGUUCAUAACACUCAUAUUCUUUUACGCCUCUGACCUUAUAGUGUCUGGUGAUUAUUCCAGUCUUCAUAAUGUGUAUAAAAUAUAAAUAUUAAAUCCCUCAAAUGCUCUGCACAAUAUCACUGGGAUAAGACCUGAACACAUAUGCUAACAGGAACGAUAAUGUGAUGGUUAGUCCCUGGAAAGAAAAGCACAAUGACACACAAUCUUAAUACGUUUAAACAUGUCAAAGAAAAGGUGAAAACAGGACACAGAACAAGAUUUCUGAGGGUGACGAGUCUUCUCUUACAGUUACCUUCACAGUAACAGGAUUAGUCAAAAAGCUUUUCUUCAGUCAGUUAAAAGGUUGUCCUUUGUUUCUCACAUUUGGAUGCAGUGAUCGCUUCCCUACACUGGAUUUGAUAUGAGCUUAAAUCCAUUUAGUAAAAUUAGUAAAAUUAGUAAAAUAGAUGAAAAUAUUAAUUCACCUUUAAUGGUCUUACAGUUAUUUUCAAAAUCUGUGAAGUUCUUUAGGUGAAAAAUUCUUAUUUUUUUACAUAUUAAAAAUGCCACUACUCCUUUUACAGCUGUAAGACUAAUUUUAUUAGAAAAAGAAAAGUUUGCCAAAUAAUGGCACAUUGCAGGCAAGGGCGUGUCCUGAAGGGUAGCAACCCCAUCCCCUCCCACUAUUGGUCACCCCCCUAAAAAAUCUAUGAUUGAUUUUACACCUCAUCAGAGGCACUACUUGCAGCAUUAACUAUUUCAACUCUGCUGCAAUAGCCUGUGUGUAGCUUUCCCGCAUUAAAAUGCUCUAUUGUAUGUCAUAAGACAGGUGCAUGACUCCCACACACUGUCAGAUAGUGCUUUGAUCAUUUAACAGUAUGAAACAGUGCACUUGUGAUUUGUUUUUCGAUCCUUCAAAUUGUGACAUUAGACAAUUAUCUUCUUUUGGAAUAAUAAGGAAUAAAUAUAAGAACAUGUAAAUUUUACUGGUCAAAAAUCUUACAAAGAAAAAGUGUAUACUACUUCAAUGAUUGUAAAAUGAUGUACGAGGUAACAAGAACUGUGAACCAUUGCUUUUGCAUGCAAGUUUGUACUUGAUGCCGCCCCUGCAGUGCCCCAGCUAGGCCUGUCUGUUCAACAUGUCUGGUCACGCUCCUGAUUAUAGGUAAGGAUUGGAGUGUCUCCAGGAAGUCUGAUAAGUUAUUAAAACUAGAAAUGUUUGGAUGUGUGUGUGUCUGCGUGUGAGACGUGGACCUCAGAAGUGCUGAAUGUGAAAAACAGAGACCCACAAUUGAGCAAAAACUGAUUGAAGCAAUAUUUGAGAUCUCAAAGUUCUCCAUCUUGUCUGUGUUUUCUUCACAGAGGUGUAAAACCACUAGAAGGGGUGGACCCCGCAUUACACUCAAAAGUAUCCAGUCCCCUCAAGAGAGAAGAACAAGUAUAUGUGUGUGCAUUCUUACACUAUCCCAGUCAAAAAGCCUGGACACACCCUUGAUUAUUCUAUGGAAGUAACUGGUAUACUUGAAUAUGACUGAUUUGUUGUGCAUUUAACUUGAAGAUUUUGCAGUUUGUUAAUCAUUAUGUUUGUUUUGGAUUUUACUGACCUUUACAAGAAGGCUUUUAAAUCUGUGAAGCUCUAAGAUGCUGCAGAGCACUCCA
rnacentral:lncRNA from 1 species